GAUGAACGCUAGCUACAGGCUUAACACAUGCGAGUCGAGGGGAAACGCCAUCGAAAGCUUGCUUUUGAUGGGCGUCGACCGGCGCACGGGUGAGUAACGCGUAUCCAACCUGCCCAUCACUUGGGAAUAACCUUGCGAAAGUAAGACUAAUACCCAAUGAUAUCCCACGAAGGCAUCGGAAUGGGAUUAAAGAUUUAUCGGUGAUGGAUGGGGAUGCGUCUGAUUAGCUUGUUGGCGGGGUAACGGCCCACCAAGGCAACGAUCAGUAGGGGUUCUGAGAGUAACGUCCCCCACAUUGGAACUGGGACACUGUCCACACUCCUACGGGAGGCAGCAGUGAGGAAUAUUGGCCAAUGGGCGAGAGCCUGAACCAGCCAAGUAGCGUGCAGGAAGACGGCCCUAUGGGUUGUAAACUGCUUUUAUAAGGGAAUAAAGUGGGUCACGUGUGACUUUUUGCAUGUACCUUAUGAAUAAGGACCGGCUAAUUCCGUG
rnacentral:rRNA from 1 species